CGUUGUAUCACAAACAGAAUCAGCCAUCUCGGGUGCAGUUUAUCAAGAUACUCUUUCAAGAUACUCUAUAAUGGCAAAAGCAGCUUUUGUCGCUUUUCUCCUCGGGUGUUGUUUUGUGGCUGCUCCAGGCACGAGUGGUACAUGAGUGGAUCCGAUUAGUUCUCCAUGGGAUGUGUUUGACUCGCUCUCGAAGGAACUCGUCCUACAGUACGGUUUUGACAAGGGCUACUACGUUGGGCCGAAGUCAGAGUUGAAAGUCUGGUAUGGCGAAGACCUCGUCAACCAAUCAACAUCCAACAACGCCGGCAGAGUGUGUGUUGAUGUGUACGGACUUGAUUUGAGCAAUUAAAAAAAACAUUCUGUAACUUUAAAAGGAAUAAAAUUGUUAUUUUGCUUGUUGAA